rnacentral:rRNA from 1 species
UACGGGGGGGGCAAGCGUUGUUCGGAAUUACUGGGCGUAAAGGGCUCGUAGGCGGCCAACUAAGUCAGACGUGAAAUCCCUCGGCUUAACCGGGGAACUGCGUCUGAUACUGGAUGGCUUGAGAUUGGGAGAGGGAUGCGGAAUUCCAGGUGUAGCGGUGAAAUGCGCAGAUAUCAGGAGGAACACCGGUGGCGAAGGCGGGUCUCUGGGCCGAAAUUGACGCUGAGGAGCGAAAGCGUGGGGAGCAAACAGG